rnacentral:rRNA from 1 species
UUGCCUUAGUAACGGCGAGUGAAGCGGCAACAGCUCAAAUUUGAAAUCUGGCCUUCUGGUCCGAAUUGUAAUUUGUAGAGGAUGAUUUUGGUGCGGUACCUUCCGAGUUCCUUGGAACAGGACGCCUUAGAGGGUGAGAGCCCCGUACGGUUGGAUGCCUAGCCUUUGUAAAUCUCCUUCGACGAGUCGAGUAGUUUGGGAAUGCUGCUCUAAAUGGGAGGUAAAUUUCUUCUAAAGCUAAAUAUUGGCCAGAGACCGAUAGCGCACAAGUAGAGUGAUCGAAAGAUGAAAAGCACUUUGAAAAGAGGGUUAAAUAGCACGUGAAAUUGUUGAAAGGGAAGGAUUUAUGACCAGACUUUUUCUAGGCGGAUCAUCCGGUGUUCUCACCGGUGCACUUUGUCUAGUUUAGGCCAGCAUCGAUUUUCGGCAGCGGAUAAAAGCUUCAGGAAUGUGGCUCCUCCGGGAGUGUUAUAGCCUGUUGUAUAAUACGCCGCUGGGGAUCGAGGUACGCGCUUCUGCAAGGAUGCUGGCGUAAUGGUUAUCAAUCACCCGUCUUGAAACACGGACCAAGGAGUCGAACAUUUAUGCGAGUGUUUGGGUGUUAAACCCUCACGCGUAAUGAAAGUGAACGGAGGUGAGAGCCCUUACGGGUGCAUCAUCGACCGAUCCUGAUGUUUUCGGAUGGAUUUGAGUAAGAGCAUAACUGUUCGGACCCGAAAGAUGGUGAACUAUGCGUGGAUAGGGUGAAGCCAGAGGAAACUCUGGUGGAGGCUCGCAGCGGUUCUGACGUGCAAAUCGAUCGUCAAAUCUGCGCAUGGGGGCGAAAGACUAAUCGA